CUACGGGGGGCAGCAGUGAGGAAUAUUGCGCAAUGGGGGAAACCCUGACGCAGCGACGCCGCAUGGAUGAUGAAGGCCUUCGGGUCGUAAAAUCCUGUCAGAAGGAGAGAAGUGUAUGGUAGCUAAUAUCUGCCAUACUUGACGGUACCUUCAAAGGAAGCACCGGCUAACUCCGUGCCAGCAGCCGCGGUAAUGCGGAGGGUGCAAGCGUUGUUCGGAAUUACUGGGCGUAAAGCGCGCGUAGGCGGUUUUAUAAGUCAGAUGUGAAAGUCCACGGCUCAACCAUGGAAGUGCAUUUGAAACUGUAAGACUUGAGUAUUGGAGGGGGUAGUGGAAUUCCCGGUGUAGAGGUGAAAUUCGUAGAUAUCGGGAGGAAUACCGGUGGCGAAGGCGACUAUCUGGCCAAAUACUGACGCUGAGGUGCGAAAGCGUGGGGAGCAAACAGGAUUAGAUACCCUAGUAGUC
rnacentral:rRNA from 1 species